UCGGACGAAUACUACUGGGGGUAGAGCACUGUUAAGGCUAGGGGGUCAUCCCGACUUACCAACCCUUUGCAAACUCCGAAUACCAGUAAGUACUAUCCGGGAGACACACGGCGGGUGCUAACGUCCGUCGUGGAGAGGGAAACAACCCAGACCGCCAGCUAAGGUCCCAAAUUACUACUAAGUGGGAAACGAUGUGGGAAGGCUCAGACAGCCAGGAUGUUGGCUUAGAAGCAGCCAUCAUUUAAAGAAAGCGUAAUAGCUCACUGGUCGAGUCGGCCUGCGCGGAAGAUGUAACGGGGCUAAGUAGUAAACCGAAGCUGCGGCAAU
rnacentral:rRNA from 1 species